rnacentral:rRNA from 1 species
UUAUAGGCAAAUGGUGGAUGCCUUGGGACCAGACGCGAUGAAGGACGUGGCGUAGCUGCGAUAAGCCUCGGGAAGGUGUUAGCAACCUGUGAACCGGGGAUUUCCGAAUGGGGAAACCUAAUUUCGUUUAAACGAAAUUGUCGAAGUUAAAUUCGAUGCGAACCCGCUGAAGUGAAACAUCUCAGUAGGCGGAGGAAAAGAAAACAAAAGUGAUUCCCNNGAUUCCCUAAGUAGCGGCGAGCGAAAGGGGAGAAGCCCAAAAUCAUUCGCGCUUUGCGUGAAUGGUGGUUGUAAGGGGAUAACGUCUAUUCAAUUAGAGGGAGUUAUAAAUAAUUUAAUUAGCUGAACUUCUCUGGAAAGAGAGACCGCAGACGGUGAUAGUCCGGUAAGUGAAAAUUAAAUUAUGCUCCUUGUUAUCUUUCUUGAGUACUGUCGAAUCAAGAUAAGUCGGCAGGAAUCCAGCGGGACUACCCGCUAAGGCUAAAUACAAUCUGGUCACCGAUAGUGAACUAGUACCGUGAGGGAAAGGUGAAAAGUAGUCCGGUAAGGACGAUGAAAUAGAAUCUGAAACCAUUAUGCCUACAAGGAGUCAGAGCUGAUAUUUAUAUCAGUGAUGGCGUGCUUUUUGCAGAACGAGCCAACGAGUCUCUUUUACCAAUUUGUCUAAGCGCUUACGGCGCGGAGGCACAGGGAAACCAAGUCUUAAUAGGGCGAAUAUAAUUGGUGGAGGAGGACCCGAAGCCAGACGAGCUUGCCAUGGCCAGGAUGAAGCUUUCAGAAAUGAAAGUGGAGGUCCGAACCCGUUUGUCGUGCAAUUCAUUGGGAUGAGCUGUGGUAAGGAGUGAAAAGCUAAUCGAGUUUGGUAAUAGCUGGUUCUUCCCGAAAUAGUUUUAGGACUAGCCUCUCUGCUCAGUAUUUUGGAGGUAGAGCACUGAAAGGGAUGCUGCGGCUUCGGCUAGGCAUUUCUAUCAAACUCCGAAUGCCAAAAUAUAUACAGAGGGAGUCAGACAGUGGGAGCGAAGUUCCAUUGUCGCGAGGGAAACAGCCCAGAUCGUCAUCUAAGGUCCCUAAAUCUAAACUAAGUGUUAGUAAGGAGGUGAAAUUUCUCAGAUAGCUAGGAGGUUAGCUUAGAAGCAGCUAUCCUUUAAAAAGUGCGUAACAGCUUACUAGUUAAGAGAUUUUGCGCCGAAGAUUCCCGGGACUAAAGUUUAGUACCGAAGAUACGACUUGGUAUUUUUAAUACCAGGGGUAGGGAAGCGUCCUUAUUGCGCUGAAGCUGAACCGUGAGGUUCUGUGGAGCGAUGAGGAGUGAGAAUGUUGGCAUAAGUAACCACAAUUGAAGUGAGAUUCUUCAACACCGUAAAUCCAAGGUUUCCUUGGCAAUGUAGAUCAGCCAAGGGUUAGGCGGGCCUUAGGAGAAGCCGAAAGGUUUAUCUGAUGGACAGCCGGUUAAUAUUCCGGCCCUCUAACAUUUUUCUGAAGGGUGACGCGAUUUAGUAGCUUGAGCGGAUUAUUGGAUUUCCGUCGACUAUUUAAGGGGCAACCCAAGAAUAGGAGCGUAGCUUAUCCUCGGAUGAGUUAAGUCAAGUGAGCAAGUCGACAAGAAAAGCCCGCAAGGCUAAGAAUGUUGGAUCCGUACUAAAACCGACACAGGUGGAUGGGCACAAGUGUGCCAAGGUGAACAAGUGAAAGAUCCUGAAGGAACUCGGCAAAAAAGUGAUCGUAACUUAGGAAUAAGAUCUGCCUUUCUUUGCAAGAAGAAAGGCCGCAGCGAGCGUUUCUCUAGCGACUGUUUAUCAAAAACACAGGUCCCUGCUAAUUCGUAAGAGGAAGUAUAGGGGCUGAGGCCUGACCAGUGCUGGAGUGUUAAAAGUGGCGGUUGCCUCGCUCUUGUUUCAUGAAACGAUCCUGAGUUCUUGUAAGUAGUUUGAUUAGUUAAGAUAAUAAUAAUUUAAUGUGUCUUUUUCAAAAAUAGGUAAGAUAUAUUGCAAUAUUAAGGAACUCAGAGAUUGCGUUCGUGAAUCGAGAGCGGGGCAGCUGACUGCUCCAAGCCUCCGGUGAACGUCCGCGGUAACUCUGACCGUGUUAAAGUAGCGUAAUCCCUUGUCGGGUAAGUUCCGACCCGCAUGAAAGGCUUAACGACUGGAGAACUGUCUCCAGGAUCUGCUUGGUGAAAUUGCAGUAGAGGUGAAAAUGCCUCUUACCUGUGGCUAGACAAUAAGACCCCGGGAGCUUUACUAUAUCCUGGCAUUGAAUUUUGAUAUUAAUUGCGUAGCGUAGGAGGGAGACUUUGAAGCUAUCUUUUCGGAGAUAGUGGAGUCGCCAAUGAAACACCUCUCUUUUAAUGUUAAGGUUCUAACUUUGUUACCUGAGGAGGGUAGCAGAAGACAGUGCUUGGUUGGUAGUUUAAGUGGGGCGCUUUUCUCCUAAAAAGUAACGGAGAAGCUUAAAGGUUGGCUAGAUCCGGAUGGAAAUCGGAUUGGUCCUGUAAAGGGAUAAGCCAGCUUGACUGCAAGACGGGUAUGUCGCGCAGAUGCGAAAGCAGAACUUAGUGAACCGACCAUGGUUCGUAGGACCGUGGGAGAUCAUCAGAUAAAAGUUACCCCGGGGAUAACAGGCUGGUAGUGCCCAAGAGUCCAUAUCAACGGCACUGUUCGGCACCUUAACAUAUCGGGGUGCAUUAACAGCAAUGUUAUUUUAAAAAAAUUGGCUUAUAACGGUAGACUCCAUAGUGAAAAUCAGCUAUAACAUAAUCAUUAUGGACAAUACCGUGGGAAGUCUAACACAAUUACAAAAAUCAUUGAUUAUAGGUUCGGUUUUAGGUGACGGGCAUAUUAGAAUUAUGCCUGGGCGCAAAGAUGCUUUUUUAGAAAUAAAUCAUUUCCUAAAAGCAAAAGAUUAUGUAGAUUGGAAAUAUUCUGUACUAAAGAAUAUUUGCGAUUCCGAACCUAAGGAAAGGGAAACCAAUGAAGGUAGAAUAGCUUAUUGUUUUUUUACUAAACAAGAUAAAGAAAUUACA